rnacentral:rRNA from 1 species
UACGGGGGGAGCAAGCGUUGUUCGGAUUUACUGGGCGUAAAGGGCGCGUAGGCGGUCAGCACAAGUCAGUUGUGAAAUCUCCGGGCUUAACUCGGAAAGGUCAACUGAUACUGUGCGACUAGAGUGCGGAAGGGGCAACUGGAAUUCUCGGUGUAGCGGUGAAAUGCGCAGAUAUCAGGAAGAACACCCGUGGCGAAGGCGGCUCUCUGGAACGCAACUGACGCUGAGACGCGAAAGCGUGGGGAGCAAACAGG